rnacentral:rRNA from 1 species
AGAGUUUGAUCAUGGCUCAGGAUGAACGCUAGCUACAGGCUUAACACAUGCAAGUCGAGGGGAAACGAUAUUGGAAGUCUUGCUUCCGAUAGGCGUCGACCGGCGUACGGGUGAGUAACGCGUAUCCAACCUGCCCACCACUUGGGGAUAACCUUGCGGAAGUAAGACUAAUACCCAAUGACGUCUCUAGAAGACAUCUGAAAGAGAUUAAAGAUUUAUCGGUGAUGGAUGGGGAUGCGUCUGAUUAGCUUGUUGGCGGGGUAACGGCCCACCAAGGCAACGAUCAGUAGGGGUUCUGAGAGGAAGGUCCCCCACAUUGGAACUGAGACACGGUCCAAACUCCUACGGGAGGCAGCA